GAUGAGUUCUCCCUGAGACUAUAAGUCUCCUGAAGGAACGUUAAAGACGAUGACGUUGAUAGGCCGGGUGUGUAAGCGCAGCGAUGCGUUGAGCUAACCGGUACUAAUGAACCGUGAGGCUUAACCUUACAACGCCGAAG
rnacentral:rRNA from 1 species